rnacentral:tmRNA from 1 species
GGCCUUCAAACAGCCGCGCCAACGCCCUAUAUUGAUUGAUGUCGGGUCGCACCCGACUAUGGCGAUAAACGGCACGCCAACUAGACGUAGCGGACCCGGGGGCAGUACCCGGCGCCUCCACCAACACGCCGGCCGGCGCGGCGCGCGCCGCCGGCCUUCCUCCCGGCUCAGGGGGAUCGAGGGGGGCGAACCAGGAUCGACGCGCGUUGAAAGGCGUGCCUUUCGCUCGGCAGCCCGCCGUGAUCGGGCAUCCCAAGAAGUGCGAACGACAAUCGCGCUCCGGUUGCUGCGGCUGCGUAAUAGCAGCCUAGGCGACCGCCUGAAAUCCCUGGUCCACUGAGCAGGGCCAGGUGGGGUUCGGGGCCACCUAGCAACAGAAGGCCCCAUU